rnacentral:rRNA from 1 species
CUACGGGUUGCUGCAGUGAGGUAUAUUGGUCAAUGGGCGAGAGCCUGAACCAGCCAUCCCGCGUGCAGGAAGACGGCCCUAUGGGUUGUAAACUGCUUUUCCAUACCAAGAAACCUGAUUACGUGUAAUUAGUUGCCGGUAGUAUGGGAAUAAGCAUCGGCUAACUCCGUGCCAGCAGCCGCGGUAAUACGGAGGGUCCAAGCGUUAUCCGGAAUCAUUGGGUUUAAAGGGUCCGUAGGCGGGCUAUUAAGUCAGAGGUGAAAGUUUGCAGCUCAACUGUAAAAUUGCCUUUGAUACUGAUAGUCUUGAAUUGUAGUGAAGUGGUUAGAAUAUGUGGUGUAGCGGUGAAAUGCAUAGAUAUCACAUAGAAUACCGAUUGCGAAGGCAGAUCACUAACUAUAUAUUGACGCUGAGGGACGAAAGCGUGGGGAGCGAACGGGAUUAGAUACCCUGGUAGUC